UCGAACGAAGCGCCUGCGGCGGACCCCUCCGGGGGAAAGCCGCAGGGGACUGAGUGGCGGACGGGUGAGCAACGCGUGGGCAACCUGCCCCGUACCGGGGGACAACAGCCGGAAACGGCUGCUAAUACCGCAUAUUCCCGCGGGGCCGCAUGGCCCUGCGGGGAAAGCUCCGGCAGUACGGGAUGGGCCCGCGUCUGAUUAGCUUGUUGGCGGGGUAACGGCCCACCAAGGCUGCGAUCAGUAGCCGGCCUGAGAGGGCGGCCGGCCACAUUGGGACUGAGACACGGCCCAGACUCCUGCGGGAGGCAGCAGUGGGGGAUAUUGCACAAUGGGGGGAACCCUGAUGCAGCGACGCCGCGUGAACGAAGAAAUAUUUCGGUAUGUAAAGUUCUAUCAGCAGGGAAGAAAAUGACAGUACCUGACCAAGAAGCCCCGGCUAACUACGUGCCAGCAGCCGCGGUAAUACGUAGGGGGCGAGCGUUAUCCGGAUUCACUGGGCGUAAAGGGAGCGCAGGCGGCACGGCAAGUCCGGUGUGAAAGCCCGGGGCCCAACCCCGGGACUGCACUGGAAACUGCCGGGCUGGAGUGUCGGAGGGGCAGGCGGAAUUCCUAGUGUAGCGGUGAAAUGCGUAGAUAUU
rnacentral:rRNA from 1 species